UACGUAGGGGGCUAGCGUUGUCCGGAAUCAUUGGGCGUAAAGAGCGCGUAGGCGGCUAGAUAAGUCCGGUGUGAAAGUCACAGGCUCAACCUGUGAAUGCCGCUGGAAACUGUCUGGCUAGAGUCCGGAAGGGGCGAGUGGAAUUCCUGGUGUAGCGGUGAAAUGCGCAGAUAUCAGGAGGAACACCGGUGGCGAAGGCGGUUCUCUGGGCAUUACCUGACGCUGAGGAGCGAAAGUGUGGGGAGCGAACAGG
rnacentral:rRNA from 1 species